AACAUUCUGUUAGUGCAGCGACCAAGAGCGGACGUGUUUCUGUAGUGUUUUUAAAUUUUACAAAAUUAUUUGUAAUAGGAAGAUAUACAGAUUAAACAAAACUGUAAACAAAAGACAGACAAAACCAUGAACUAAUGUAAAGACACUCCGCGGGAACCUAUUCGGCGUUUUCCCCACGUGGAACCCAAUUUUUUCAUUUUCGUUCAUUUUAUGAUGUGUGCCUGUGUGUAGCAGCUUUGGGCGGCGAAGAAAAUUACCGUGAAAUUUUAGCAGUACUUAUUUCUAUAUUUUGAACGUAUAUAUGUGCGUGCUCGUUUUUCGUCCACUUAAAUGUCGAUGUGCGUUAACAUUUGCAUUUCGUUAAUUAUACAUGCAAAAAGUUUAUAAUUCAACAAAAAAAAAAGUAAUAAUAA